GGCCGGUGGCCAUGCCCUCCACUCCCACAAACCAUUAAGUUAGGGGAAAGGCAUUUUUCUGGGGGAAAAACAAUGUGAGAUGUAAAAGGUAAGACUUCUCUGGAAGACUCUCUACUUAUCUUGCAGACUAAUUUCCCUGCCUGUUGAUAACGUCCGGGCUCUCGUACAACUGCGUGCGAGGGGCUAAAUUACAUUUUCGCUUUUCGGAACGAAUGUGCAGAAGUGGCCUGGCGCACUCGAAAUUGGAGUCUCACCUCGUCCCCCCAGCUACCUGUUUAUUAGCUCUUUCCUCCGGACCCCGAUCACCUACCUACAGGACACCUCGUAAAAAGCUACUUGGGCAUCAUAGGAACAAGGAUUUGGACCGUUCUUUGUGGAAUGGGUUUGACGAUUCCGUCUCAAGGGAUUAAAUCCAUCUGUCACAAAUGACUGAUAACUGAAGUUUAAAAUGCACUUACCUGACAAAGCCUCAAUAGCUUUUAUGGCCCAGUUUUGGUCGGGGAAAUCCACGAAGGCAUAGCCGGAUUUGAGCAGAACCUGCUCGGUCAGAGGGAGCUUCCUCUCGUCAAAGAGCUGCUUCAAGUCCUCGACGGUGACCGAGGGGCUCAGAUUCCCAAUGUAUAGUUUGUUCAUGAUCCUAAUGGAAAUCUCGAUGUGCACAUAAAAUCGGGAUAUAAAAAUACAAAUGGAAAUCUAAAAAUAAAAUUUAAAACAAAACGGAAAAACUGCAAAAAGCAGUGAUCACCCCCCAAAUCCAGUCGACCCCCGGCUCCAACUCUGCUCCUGGUCAAACACUUUUGACUGGGGUGGGAAAAAAGUGUCGCUGCGACGCUACUCUGGAUCCUACAAGCACCGCCUCUAAAUAAAAUCUGCCUUAAAAUGUCAGAAAAUUUGUUUGCAGCCAGAACGUGUUUGCGAACCACAGCAUCCGUGUUGAGAACGAACUGACAUGUAGGUGCCAAGUGGCACGAAGAUCACCCACCGGGAAAUGAAUUGGGUGGGUUAUGGGGUCAGUCAGGUCGUUCAUUCAAACCCUUCAUAAUACCAGUAGUGUAGUGCGAAUGGUUUGCUACUUGAAAGAAACACAAGAAAUCGUUAGCUACGUCGAGCUAAGUCUAAACGCAUGGUGGUCACAAUACUGGAUAAAUGAAGAAGGAUCAAAUGGAAACAUCUGCCCCACCCUCAAAGUACACAUACGGUUGCUUGUGAGUAGGCUAUUAACUGUAUGCGAACAUUUACGUUAAGAAGGUACAAAGAAAAUGUGAUAUCGACAAUUGCAGUAACGCCAACCGUUUCUGGUAAUUGCCAAUGACAAUAUACACGCUGAGCUAGGGGCGUGCUGGAUUUCUGUUUGCGCACAACGCGCACUCGUUUAUUAUUGGUCCAGGUGUGUCACAUGGGGCAUCUAGCCCUAAAAGAGGAGAGUGCAGAUUGUGUGCGAAGAGAAAUGUAACACGCCGAAGUUCAGAGCGGAGACUCGGCCCAAGGAAAGAAUCACUUUAUUGGUGAUGGCCUCUCGAGCUCUUGUUGAUGUAUCUUUGUCUCCGUAUCUUUCGGGCGUUUUCAAGACCAGAUUAAUUGACAAUAAAGAACACCGAUUCAUUGUUGUUAAAUAAUGAAUUCACGGCGGAUCUUUUCACGACGGUGGCAGGAAAUGGAGUGUGGGGUUCUGAUGGAAAGUAACAAAUACGCCGUACAACGGGUAAGGCGCUGGAGGGGCCAAGCCUUAAUAUUUAUAGGAUGGUACAUUGAAUGUGAAUCAUUUUUAAAAGUGUACGGACAUAUAACAUUGUUUUAUGCAAACUCCCACUGACUCUUAUCAUGAUUUACAUAUGUAAUAAACAUAAACCGUAGCAAAAACUACAGUCAAACAUCAUUUGAGUGUAGUCAGAUAGAAAUAGGAUUGAAAUAAGUACAAAUGAACAUUACCAAAAUAGCAGAAAAACACAGAUGCAGUAUGUUUUUUUAAAAAUGACUAUCAAAUGAAUUAAUGUCUUACAACUCUCAGUAAAAUAAAUGUGGUAAAUAUCAUCUUAGGUCUGGGAGUUGAUUGUGGACCUUUAAAGAACAGAUAUGUAAUUUCAAAUAAGAUUUUGGACCUUCAGAUAAUUUCAAAAGUUAAAACAUUUUUGAUAUAACAAAUCCUGGCCAUGCCAGUACUCUUGAGUCAGUUACGACCACAAGUCAGAGAUCGUGGAGAAUUGUUGGGAUAGACAGAAUUAGCCAGUUGCAGUUUCUCAUAUGCUAUUGUUCCACAGCAACUACACAGGUCUGGUCUUCAUUGCAGAGUUGUAAGAAAUACAUUUUCACAGAAGUCAGAGCAUAAAAGGCGUAAGUACAGAUUUGUCAAACUGAAUCUUAAUGGCACUCAUUUUGUGAGAAGCUGAAAGAGCUUUGGAGACGUUUAUCAGCAGGGUGCUUGGCAAAAAGGUGAAGGUCAUUUUGAGAAGAACGUCACACCCUAUGUUAAAUAUGGAGGUGUGGAAGACAAAAUGAAUGUUCUUGACAGGCAUAUCCAUAUAAAAACCUCAAUCCAAACAGAUUUCUGAAAGAUUUUCACGAGCAAGAACCAAAAGUUUCAGAACAAUAGUGCUGAAAUAGUUCUUCUUGAGAUGGUGGAACAUCGAAAGACUUGAGGAAAUGUCCUUUUUUUGGCUGGACCACAGACAGCAUGGCCAGCCCUACAAACGCGAAUGUCUGUGACUGAGUGCUUUUUGGGCAUCUACACAGAGACGGGCUCAAAAUCAAAGAGGGCGGUCUAAAACCAGAGAGUUUGCAUUUUUCUGAGAAAACUGAUAGAUUAUUAUUAUGAGUAGUUGUCAGUGUGGACAUAAGUUUCUGACUGGACUGUAUACUAUGCUUAUAUUUCAGGAUUUAUGGCUGUAUUGUUAUUUAUUCAUUCCCUCUCCACCUUAGCUGAUGUGUGGUGAACGUUCAGGUGCUAAAUCGCUGCCCUGCAUCACUCAGGUGGGUGCUACACACUGGUGGUGUUUGACGUCUUUUUUCCCCCUUAUCACUGUAUAGCACUUUUAGCAUCUGGGAAAGUAUGAUAAAAAUGCAGUGUUCUUUCAUUCA